rnacentral:rRNA from 1 species
AUUGAACGCUGGCGGCAGGCCUAACACAUGCAAGUCGAACGAGUGGCGGACGGGUGAGUAAUGUCUGGGAAACUGCCUGAUGGAGGGGGAUAACUACUGGAAACGGUAGCUAAUACCGCAUACCAUCGGAUGUGCCCAGAUGUGAUUAGCUAGUAGUUGGGGUAAAGGCUCACCUAGGCGACGAUCCCUAGCUGUGCUGAGAGGAUGACCGGCCACACUGGAACUGCGACACGGUCCAGACUCCUACGUGAGGCAGCAGUGGGGAAUAUUGCACAAUGGGCGCAAGCCUGAUGCAGCCAUGCCGCGUGUAUGAAGAAGGCCUUCGGGUUGUAAAGUACUUUCAGCGGGGAGGCGUUAAGCGAAGAAGAAGCACCGGCUAACUCCGUGCCAGCCGCCGCGGUAAGUG